GAUGAACGCUGGCGGCGUGCCUAAUACAUGCAAGUCGAGCGAACGGACGAGAAGCUUGCUUCUCUGAUGUUAGCGGCGGACGGGUGAGUAACACGUGGAUAACCUACCUAUAAGACUGGGAUAACUUCGGGAAACCGGAGCUAAUACCGGAUGAUAUUUUGAACCGCAUGGUUCAAAAGUGAAAGACGGUCUUGCUGUCACUUAUAGAUGGAUCCGCGCUGCAUUAGCUAGUUGGUAAGGUAACGGCUUACCAAGACAACGAUGCAUAGCCGACCUGAGAGGGUGAUCGGCGACACUGGAACUGAGACACGGUCGAGACUCCUACGGGAGGCAGCAGUAGGGAAUCUUCCGCAAUGGGCGAAAGCCUGACGGAGCAACGCCGCGUGAGUGAUGAAGGUCUUCGGAUCGUAAAACUCUGUUAUUAGGGAAGAACAUAUGUGUAAGUAACUGUGCACAUCUUGACGGUACCUAAUCAGAAAGCCACGGCUAACUACGUG
rnacentral:rRNA from 1 species